rnacentral:rRNA from 1 species
GACGAACGCUGGCGGCGUGCCUAAUACAUGCAAGUCGAGCGGACCUCCGGAGGUGCUUGCACCUCCGGACGGCCAGCGGCGGACGGGUGAGUAACACGUGGGCAACCUGCCUUUGAGGCCGGGAUAACACCGGGAAACCGGUGCUAAUACCGGAUACGUCCUCUUUCGCGCCUGCGAGAGGGGAGACAGACGGUCGUUAAGGCCGUCGCUCAAAGAGGGGCCCGCGGCGCAUUAGCUGGUUGGCGGGGCAAGGGCCUACCAAGGCGACGAUGCGUUGCCGACCUGAGAGGGUGAUCGGCCACACUGGGACUGAGACACGGCCCAGCCUCCUGCGGGAGGCAGCAGUAGGGAAUCUUCCGCAAUGGACGAAAGUCUGACGGAGCAACGCCGCGUGAGUGAUGAAGGCUUUCGGGUCGUAAAACUCUGUUGUUAGGGAAGAACAAGUACGAGAGUAACUGCUCGUACCUUGACGGUACCUAACCAGAAAGCCACGGCUAACUACGUGCCAGCCGCCGCGGUAAAAC